rnacentral:ribozyme from 1 species
AAAAAAAAAAAAAAAAAAAAAUACAGAAACACCUGUUAUUCUUUUAUUUUUGUGUUUGUUUUGAACAGUUUUUUAAUUUUUAUUUUUUUUUGUUUGUUUGUUUCUCGGUUUUUUGUUCGUUUGUUGGAUUUGUGCUUUCAUGGCAGGAAUCACUCACUGCAACCAAAAAAAAAAGACAAAUUUAUUUCAAAUUUUUUGGUUCUUUCUUU